AUGAGCCCAUCGAAACGUCACUCACUCCCCUCCUCCCCCCACCAAAGAAAUUCUCCCCCAGUAACCUGCUACAAACGCCUCCCCCGUCCCGCANNNNNNNNNNNNNNNNNNNNNNNNNNNNNNNNNNNNNNNNNNNNNNNNNNNNNNNCGGCCUUGCGCUUCUUGGGCCGAGCCCUAGCUGGGGCGCCCCCGAUCAUCUCCUCCUCCCAUCUCGCUCUCAGUUUUGGGACUUCCAGCAUGGCUGAUGAAACUGGCAAUGACAGUCAGAUGUUCGAAGGUAAUGAGAUUGUUGACCCUGGUAAUGAGGCAGUCCAUGGUGAUGAGGCAGUCCAAGGUGGCGAGUUGGUCGAAGUUGAUGAACUAGCUCAAGGUGACGAGUUGGCUCAAGGCGAGGACUUAACACAGGGUGACGAAUUGCUCCAAGGGAAUGAGAUGGCCAUCACUGAGGUGGCCACUCCUCCAACCACGAGGCGCCGGAGAAAGAAGUCCCUGGUGUGGGAGCACUUCACUAUUGAAGAUGCUGCUGGAGGGGCUACUCGGGCUUGCUGCAAACUUUGCAAGCAAACCUUUGCGUACAGCUCUGGUUCAAAAAUUGCUGGGACUAGCCAUCUCAAGAGGCACAUCACCUUGGGUUCCUGUCCUAAGAUAAAAGGCCAAGGGCAUAAGCUAGCAAUUACAAUUGGGACUGACAAUGAUGGUGAUGGUACUGUGGAGAGGCGGUCUAAGAGGCGUUACAGAUAUACUGGUUAUGCGAAUGCGUCUUUUGAUCAAGACCGCAGUUAUUCAUACUUGGCAAAGAUGAUCAUUUUGCAUGACUAUCCGCUCCACAUUGUUCAACAACCAGCCUUCACUGCUUUUAUUGAUAGUCUGCAGCCUCGUUUCAGGGUUGUUGAUGUUGAUGCAAUGGAGGUGGAGGUUUAUGCUGUUUAUCAGAAAGAAAAAGAGAACCUUUUGCAAGCAUUCAGCGCUAUGCCUGGAAGGAUCAGCCUCACCAUUGGAUUGUGGACAACUAGUCAAACUCUUGGCUAUGUUUCAGUUUCUGGGCAGUUCAUUGACUCUGAAUGGAAAUUACAUCGAAGAAUGCUUAGCUUCAUGAUGGUGUCUUCGCCUCAUUCGGACAAUGCACUUAGUGAAGCUAUUAGCUCAAGCCUUACUGACUGGGGUAUGAAGGAGAAGCUAUUUACCAUCACGUUGGAUAAUGAUUCCUUAUCUCAUGACAUCUACAGUGCAAAUCUGAGAGAUCAGCUCUCCAGUAAGAAUAACCUCAUGCUUAAGGGUCAGCUAUUUGUUGUGAGGUGCUAUGCCCAUAUCCUGGAUGCGGCUGCACAAGAUGUCAUUGCUUUAAUCCACGGUGUCAUCUACAGCAUCCGCGAAAGCAUAAAGUUCAUAAAAGCUUCUCCUAGUCGUGAGGAAAAGUUUGCUGAGAUUGCUCUGCAGCUGGAGAUCCCCAGUACGAAGACCCUUUGUCUGGAUGUUACAACCCAGUGGAACACAACCUAUCUGAUGCUCUUGGCUGCCUUGGAUUAUAGGCAGGCUUUCAUUACACUAGAAACAGUUGAUGAAAACUACAAUGAAGCACCUUCAGCUGAGGACUGGAAAAAAAUUGAGGCUGCCUGCAAUUACUUGAGGCUGCUCUAUGACUCGGCUCAUAGCAUCAUGGCAGCAGGAAACCCAACCUCAAACAUUUUCUUCCAUGAAGCUUGGAAACUGCAGCUAGAGCUGGGAAAUGGUUCAGCACACGAAGAUCCAAUUUUCAGUAGCAUCGCCAAAGACAUGUAUGAGAGGUUUGACAAAUACUGGAAAGAUUGCAACCUUGUGUUAGCUGUUGCUGUUGUGAUGGAUCCACGUUUUAAGAUGAAGCUUGUUGAGUUCAGUUACUCAAAGAUUUACGGCGUUGAGGCUGCAAAGUAUGUUAAGGUGGUAAAUGAUUCGGUGCAUGACCUUUUUAAGGAUUAUGUGGCACAGCCGCUCCCCUUAACACCGGCCUAUGCUGAACAAGGGAAAACUGAUAAUGCUACUGCCAAUGGGAACAACACCCAAGCAACUCAACCUUCAACUGGUGAUGGCCUUCAAGACUUUGAUAUAUAUCUUUCUGAGAUUGCUACAACCCAGCCCUCAAAAUCUGAGCUAGAGCAGUACCUGGACGAGUCUCUUACUCCUCGCAUCCAAGAGUUCGACAUUCUCAAUUGGUGGAAGCUCAACAUGCAGAAGUAUCCGACGCUCUCAAAGAUGGCGCGGGAUAUCUUGGCCAUCCCAGUGUCCAUGGUGACCGGCGGCACCUCUAUAUUUUCUGCAGGAACAGGGUGCCAUGUGCUCGACGACUACAGAAGCUCGCUCCGUCCGGAAAUCGUGGAGGCGCUCGUCUGUGCAAAGGACUGGCUUCCGAAUUCGACCGCCGCACCGGAGGCCGUGCCGGGCUCUGGGCUUCUCAAGAUGGACUAG
rnacentral:rRNA from 1 species